AUGAUUGAUACAAAUUAUAGGAUUAUGUCGUGGAAUGUUAGAGGACUUAAUGCGCCGGCUAGACGAUCUGCGGUUAGAGAGGUGGCGCAAGCAAACAAGAUCUCAAUCCUAAACCUACAAGAAACUAAAAUAGAGGCUUGGACUUCUGAAAUGGCUCACGACGUUGGGGGAAAUCUUCUGCAGGGCUGCGUGGUGCUUCCGGUAGCGGGCACAAGAGGGGGCGCGGCAAUCUUCUGGGAUAAGCAGAUUGUCGACAUCACGGAUCAGAUCAUCGCUAGUUUCUCCAUCACUGCCAAGGUGCGGAUCAUUAGCACCGGCCACUCGUUUUGGAUGACUACAGUAUAUGGGCCGACAGAUGACCAGCAGAAUGCAAAUUUUCUGUCUGAGCUGGCUGUGGUUGCGCCGGCUGCAUCAGAGCCAUGGAUGCUGAACAGCGACUCCAACAUGAUUUACCAAGCUAGGGACAAGAACAACUCCAACAUCAACUGAAGAAUGAUGGGCCGUUUCCGCAGAGUAAUUGAUCUCUCCGGGGUAAAAGAGGUCAAAUGCAAAAAUAGGAGAUUUACGUGGAGCAGCGAGAUGGAGGAUCCAACUCUUUGUAGCAUCAACAAGGUUUUCUGCAACCUGGCAUGGGAGGAUAUGCACCCAAACUUUGUGCUUAUGGCGGCCUCCACUUCGUUCUCUGAUCAUUUCCCUCUGGUGCUGGCUAAUGGAGUUAGGCCUGUCACCAGGGCAAGGUUCAGAUUCGAAAAACUUCUGGACAGUCUUUCAACAUUUCCAAGAGACGGUGCAGUAUGCUUGGGAGAGGCCUGUCUGCCAUGA
rnacentral:rRNA from 1 species